rnacentral:rRNA from 1 species
AGAGUUUGAUUAUGGCUCAGGAUGAACGCUGGCGGCGUGCCUAAUACAUGCAAGUCGAACGAGGUGCUUUUGUAGCAAUAUGAAGGUAUCCUAGUGGCGAACGGGUGAGUAACGCGUGGGUGACCUGCCCCGAAGUGUGGGAUAACAGUCCGAAAGGACUGCUAAUACCGCAUGCGGCCAUCGGGCUUAGAAGCCGAUGUCCAAAGCAGCAAUGCGCUUUGGGAGGGACCUGCGUCCCAUCAGCUAGUUGGUAGGGUAACGGCCUACCAAGGCGACGACGGGUAGGGGACCUGAGAGGGUGACCCCCCACAAUGGAACUGAAACACGGUCCAUACACCUACGGGUGGCAGCAGUAGGGAAUAUUGCACAAUGGGCGAAAGCCUGAUGCAGCAACGCCGCGUGCACGAUGAAGGUCUUCGGAUCGUAAAGUGCUUUUCUGGGAGAUGAGAAAGGACAGUAUCCCAGGAAUAAGUCUCGGCUAACUACGUGCCAGCAGCCGCGGUAAAACGUGGGAGGCGAGCGUUAUCCGGAUUCACUGGGCGUAAAGCGCGUGCAGGCGGUUCGGUUAGUUGGGCGUGAAAGCUCCUGGCUUAACUAGGAGAGGCCGUCCAAUACUGCCGAACUAGAGAACAGUAGAGGAAGAUGGAAUUCCCGGUGUAGUGGUGAAAUGCGUAGAUAUCGGGAGGAACACCAGUGGCGAAGGCGAUCUUCUGGACUGUUUCUGACGCUCAGACGCGAAAGCUAGGGUAGUAAACGGGAUUAGAGACCCCGGUAAUCCUAGCCGUAAACGAUGUGAACUUGGCGUCGGUGGCGU